rnacentral:sRNA from 1 species
CAUUUGGGUCUACCUUGUCUCCAUUGGCUAAACCAAUUUAAAUAAUAUAUCUUUUGUUUUCCUACCAACUCGUAUAUCUAUAGAGAUUCUGGAUCUCUUUUUAAAUCAGUAAAGUCCCAGAAUGGGCUUUCCACUAGAUCAGCAAUAUAGACACUUUCCCAUUCUGACAUAAUAUAACGUAUCUGCUUGCUGGGCUCUAAGCACAUGAAAUCAUUUUUUUGAGUGAAAACUUGACCAAAAAAAUGCUCAGUUGACUCUCUUUAAUCUUUCUAAUUCUCUCCUUAUUUGCUAGGGAGCGUUCUCCAUCACCACUGACCGGGAAAGUCAAUCAGCUGGAAUUAAUUCUUCGACAACUCCAAACCGACCUUCGGAAGGAAAAACAAGACAAGGCCGUUCUCCAAGCAGAAGUGCAGCACCUGAGACAGGACAACAUGAGGCUGCAGGAGGAGUCCCAGACCGCGACAGCUCAGCUGCGGAAAUUCACAGAAUGGUUUUUCACCACCAUC